AAGUCGUAACAAGGUUCCUGCGGAAGGAUCAUUAUAAAUUAUUUUUUUGCUUUUUUCCGAAGCAUCCACCCCACUUGUGCACAGACCGCAAUUGUUUUACCUUUUUGGCGAUGCUUUGAAAAUGUCUGAUUGACUUUUUCAAACUCGAAACUCUUGUGACUGCUACUGGGUGAUUUAACACCUAGCCGGUCACCCGAGAGUUUGGGGAAUGCUCGCCAAAAGGUUUUAUUUAAAAACAUUUUUUGUAUAAAUUUUGCCUAAACAUUUUUGAGUGUAAAGAGUUGUGCUAAGUGUCUAAUGACCUUUUUGUACCUUCUCUUUUCGCCCAAACUUCUAAGAAAAAUAAAAUACAACUUUUAACAACGGAUCUCUUGGCUCUCC
rnacentral:misc_RNA from 1 species